rnacentral:rRNA from 1 species
UGAAAAUGGAUGGCGCUGUAGCGUCGUGCCUAUACUCGGCCGUCAACGGCACAGGGGGCGGUACCUUCGCGGGUACCGGGCCGUUAUGCCUUGACGAGUAGGAGGGUCGCGGCGGUGUGCGCAGAAGGGUCUGGGCGUGAGCCUGCCUGGAGCCACCGUCGGCGCAGAUCUUGGUGGUAGUAGCAAAUACUCCAGCGAGGACCUGGAGGACUGACGUGGAGAAGGGUUUCUUGUGAACAGCUGUUGCACAAGAGUCAGUCGAUCCUAAGCCCUAGGAGAAAUCCUAUGUCGAUGGGGAGCCGUUGAAACAUAGAAGACGCGCCGCGAUGCGGCGAGAGAGAGAGAGACGCUUUUCUUUCUCCAGCGUUGCGCGCUCUUGUAUUGGAAGGCGACCCACGGGGCGAAAGGGAAUCCGGUUCCUAUUCCGGAACCCGGCUGCGGAACCGUUCAUAAGCGGGCCCUCAUCCGAGAGCUCGACGGGGCAACCCGAAGAGACCCGGAGACGCCGGCGGGAGGUCCGGAGAGAGUUUUCUUUUCUCUAUAAGCGUUCGAGUUCCCUGGAAGCCUAUAGCAGGGAGAUAGGGUUUGGAACGCGAAGAGCACCGCAGUUGCGGCGGUGUCCGGAUCUUCCCCUCGGACCUUGAAAAUCCGGGAGAGGGCUACGCGGAAUGUCCGCGCCGGAUCGUACCCAUAUCCGCAGCAGGUCUCCAAGGUUAAGAGCCUCUAGUCGAUAGAAUAAUGUAG